rnacentral:rRNA from 1 species
GUGUGCUAAGAAGAGAGAAUGCCGGAAUGAGUAGCGAGAGGAAGGUGAGAAUCCUUCCGGCCGAAUAUCCAAGGUUUCCAGAGUAAAGCUGAUCUGCUCUGGGUAAGUCGGGGCCUAAGGCGAGGUCGAAAGACGUAGUCGAUGGAUAACAGGUGGAGAUUCCUGUACUAUGUGUACCCAGAACUGUGGGGACGCAUGUGGAGAGCAUGAGCCGGGAAAGAAAAGACCGGUACAAGCGGGGUAGGAGUAAGGACAGCAAAUCUUCCUUACAAUCCGAAGACGUGAUGUGGACCGAACCAAAGUAGGGAAGCAUGUGAGCCAUGUGCCAAGAAAAGCCGCUAUUGUGAUACACAUACCCGUACCGUAAACCGACACAGGUGGAUGAGGAGAGAAUCCUAAGGCCGACGGAAGAAGCAUUGUUAAGGAACUCGGCAAAAUGACCCCGUAACUUCGGGAGAAGGGGUGCCCUGUGAAAGCAGGGCCGCAGAGAAUAGGCUCAAGCAACUGUUUAGCAAAAACACAGGUCUAUGCGAAACCGAAAGGUAAGGUAUAUGGGCUGACGCCUGCCCGGUGCUGGAAGGUUAAGAGGAGAAGUCAGGCAACGAAGCUUCGAAUUUAAGCCCCAGUAAACGGCGGCCGUAACAAUAACGGUCCUAAGGUAGCGAAAUUCCUUGUCGGGUAAGUUCCGACCCGCACGAAAGGCGUAAUGAUUUGAGCACUGUCUCGACAAUGCAUCCGGUGAAAUUGAAGUACCAGUGAAGAUGCUGGUUACCUGCGCCAGGACGGAAAGACCCCAUGGAGCUUUACUCCAGCUUGAUACUGGGAUUCGAUACUGUAUGUACAGGAUAGGUGGGAGACGUUGAACAUAGAACGCCAGUUUUAUGUGAGUCGCUGUUGGGAUACCACCCUUGCAGUAUUGGAUUUCUAACCUGCACCCAUGACCUGGGUGGGGGACAAUGUCUGGCGGGGAGUUUGACUGGGGCGGUCGCCUCCGAAAGGGUAUCGGAGGCGCUCAAAGGUUCCCUCAGAAUGGUUGGAAACCAUUCGAAGAGUGCAAAGGCAGAAGGGAGCUUGACUGUGACACCGACGGGUGGAACAGGUACGAAAGUAGGACUUAGUGAUCCGGUGGUAUGAAGUGGGAUUGCCAUCGCUCAACGGAUAAAAGCUACCCUGGGAUAACAGGCUUAUCACUCCCAAGAGUUCACAUCGACGGAGUGGUUUGGCACCUCGAUGUCGGCUCAUCGCAUCCUGGGGCUGUAGCAGGUCCCAAGGGUUGGGCUGUUCGCCCAUUAAAGCGGUACGCGAGCUGGGUUCAGAACGUCGUGAGACAGUUCGGUCCCUAUCCGGCGCAGGCGGAGGAUAUUUGAGAGGAGCUGUCCUUAGUACGAGAGGACCGGGAUGGACGGACCACUGGUGUAUCUGUUGGCUAUCGGAGCCAUGGCAGAGUAGCCAAGUCCGGCAGGGAUAAACGCUGAAGGCAUCUAAGCGUGAAGCCCCCCUCAAGAUGAGAUAUCCCUCAGAAAUGAGUAAGACCCCUUGAAGACUACGAGGUAGAUAGGAAUGAGGUGUAAGCACAGCAAUGUGUUCAGCUGACAUUUACUAAUCGGUCGAGGGCUUGAUCA